GAUGAACGCUGGCGGCGUGCCUAAUACAUGCGAGUCGAGCGAACAGACGAGGAGCUUGCUCCUCUGACGUUAGCGGCGGACGGGUGAGUAACACGUGGAUAACCUACCUAUAAGACUGGGAUAACUUCGGGAAACCGGAGCUAAUACCGGAUAAUAUAUUGAACCGCAUGGUUCAAUAGUGAAAGACGGUUUUGCUGUCACUUAUAGAUGGAUCCGCGCCGCAUUAGCUAGUUGGUAAGGUAACGGCUUACCAAGGCAACGAUGCGUAGCCGACCUGAGAGGGUGAUCGGCCACACUGGAACUGAGACACGGUCCAGACUCCUACGGGAGGCAGCAGUAGGGAAUCUUCCGCAAUGGGCGAAAGCCUGACGGAGCAACGCCGCGUGAGUGAUGAAGGUCUUCGGAUCGUAAAACUCUGUUAUUAGGGAAGAACAAAUGUGUAAGUAACUAUGCACGUCUUGACGGUACCUAAUCAGAAAGCCACGGCUAACUACAUG
rnacentral:rRNA from 1 species